GCCAGAGUGGCGGAACUGGUAUACGCGCAGGACUUAAAAUCCUGUGGUUGAAUAAACCUUGUGGGUUCGAGUCCCACCUCUGGCA
rnacentral:tRNA from 1 species